CGGGACGAAAGGAGGAGAGUCUGAGUGACUGACACGGUGGUGUGACCAGGCGUUACAGAACAAUCUAAUUCCGCCGGGACUGAGUUUCGGAGCGGGAGCUGACGGCAGGAGAGUGACGAGGAAAUCGGCCCACACAGGUAUCCGUGAAUAGCUGAUAUCUGCUUUUCACAAACACCAACCGAAGACGCAGAGCCACUCUUUGCCCUUCGCCGUGGUCAGCUGGUGAGGACAGGGCAUCUGUCGUCCGCGUAGGUCGCCCGGUCACCACUUAAAAAUCCACCGAGCCGUCACUCUGUCGGACAUUCACCAGCGGAGCGGGUGACGAGUUCUGCAGCCGCCGACGUUGCCGAGCACUCCUGAGGUGACCGUCUGAAGAACCCAGUGGCUUGGACACCCGGAGAGACUGCGUGUAGUCGACCGUGAAACUGAGGAUUGAAAGUGACGGGCGCUGGCCGCGUUGAUAAGUGGAUCGUGCCAGUGUUUGAGACCGAGAAAAGUGGUGAGUGGUGUUGAAAUUUAGUGUAGUGGACAGUAUCCGUGCGGUGAGUGUAAGACGUUUAACGUUGGACAGAGAUUGGAAGUGAAUUGGAUGAACGCUGCUCUUGCCAUGGUGGCCUGACCUACUACGAAGAGUGCAGGGUACUAUUGCUGAGAAAGUGCUGGGAUUUUCAGAAAGUUUCAGGGACAUGCGCUGACAGCCGGUCGCCAUGCAGCCUUCCGCUCUCUCCCUGUGGCUACUGCUGCUGUUCAGGCUGGUGGGGCCUGGACCUGCACACCGCAUCAAUGUCUUCUGGAACGCCACCAACCCAAUGUGAGUACCACCAGCACUCAGACACAUGUCUGGUUACCCGCGCUGAAUCAUGUAUGAAACACCGGAUAGAUGAUAAGAUGAACGUCUACCGAAUCAGAAGUGAUUACCCCUGGGUCAGUUUAGAAUUGUGAUAGUAUCUCCACAAGCCAUUUCCGGUGUGCUAUUUUUUGUUAUUUACUUCUUGUUAUUUAUGCGUAGGUGGGUCAGCUGGAUUUUCACUUCCUUCUUAUAC